rnacentral:rRNA from 1 species
CCUACGGGUGGCAGCAGUGGGGAAUAUUGCGCAAUGGGCGAAAGCCUGACGCAGCGACGCCGCGUGAGGGAUGAAGGUCUUCGGAUCGUAAACCUUUGUCAGCAGGGAAGAACGGUCACUGUGCUAAUCAGCAGUGAAUUGACGGUACCUGCAAAGGAAGCACCGGCUAACUCCGUGCCAGCAGCCGCGGUAAUACGGAGGGGGCGAGCGUUAAUCGGUAUUACUGGGCGUAAAGGGCUCGUAGGCGGUAUGUCAAGUCAAGGGGGAAAUCCCCGGGCUCAACGUGGGAACUGCCGUUGAAACUGGCAGACUGGAGUGUGUGAGAGGAUAGUGGAAUGCCAGGUGUAGGAGUGA